CUUAUGAUAUGUUGUGACAUCCAAUGGGGAGAACUCUUUUCUAUAGACACUUCUUGAAUGUUAUCUUGUUCAUGCCAGUUAUUAAGGAGACAGUUUUCCAUAAAGGAUCCAGUAGUUUCAAAGACUGUCUUUUUUUUCAGGUUGUAUUUUCUUUGCAUUAGGAAUGAAUACAUUUUCAGGCGAAUUGUAUUUGGCUUUUCUGGUGACCUGGAAAAUAUUUGAAGGCUCUAUUUUAGUACAGAAAAAGCCUUUUUAAAAAUAUAUUUUAAUUUCAUGAACUUGUUCUGAUGCUGCUUUGAAAAGAGCUAAGGGCACUGAAGCCUGGUUUUGAGGUUGUACUGGAAAAGUUCCUAAAUGAAAUCACAUGCUGCAAUAUUCCAGGUAAUGACUUAUUUUUCUCUUUUCAUCUUUGCUUUUACGGAUGUAUUAUUUUCACUUUUUCACCUCCUUGCACUCAGUCUGCAAAAAGAACCUGUCUCAAGGCAGAGAGAGGCCCUGAUGCUGUCCUGCCUUGCUUGAACAAAACUAUCAACUGAUAGGAAUGGCAUGAGGUGUGGUAAGUGACAACAGUGAAAGAAGUAACCAACAAAGUCAACUUGCAUGAAGCUGGAAUCUAAUCAUAGAGGCAGAUCAGGUGAUCACAGGACAGACCGACUAAAAGACAAUAAAAGGCAACAGCUGAGGCACAUCAUCCAUAGUUCAUUUGCAGACUACGAGCUUUGCACUUAAACUGGUGAGAAAUCAGAAAAAAAAGAAAUAGCAUUACUUUUCCCUUUUAGUGGAAAGCUCCUGGGGCAAGUCCAAGGAAUUCUUACUUUCAGCUGGUCUUGCAUCUAUUGUCAUAGCUGUCACUGUCAUCACUGAUAGUAACUUAUGUUGUCAUACAUGUACAUCACCAUGGAGAUCCCAUAACAACAAUUAGUAGCUUUUGUUAGUCAUACACUGUCAUCAGAAGAGGAUACAGCCUGUGUAAAAGAACUGUUCUGGUGCCCACAUGAAGCAUUUUAUUAACUCAUUCCUAGCCAAAAUUCAAAACUGUAAAAGGAUGAUCAUCUUUCUUUGCAGGAAGAAGAUUGCCAGCUCCACUCAGAGACUCUGCCCUAAAGCACCAAGCUGCCAACAGAGGCACCACUUUAUUUUUAAGAGGUUGUUGCACACAUAAAACAGAGCACUCAGAAACAGAAAGACUUCUAACCACAACCUUUUCAGAACGCAUUGCACCCCUGCCACUCUAAGCUAUAAGGAAGCAAAAUAAGCACCCUAAAAUUCCCAUGCCACACACAAACUCAAAGACAGAAAAAGUUAGCAUAAACCCCUACUAAUCCCAUUUCACACUACCUUGUCUCUAUUUUAUUUUCAGAACAGGAAUCCUUUACAUCCUUAAAGUCAGUAGCUCCUAUCAAACACACGUAAAGAUCUACCCCUCGCUACAGACCUCACAAUAUAUUUCAAAGGCUUCCAAAAUUUCUAAUUCUAGCUAAACAAUAAUAUAGCAAUUUAUAAGAAAAUACUUGAGAUUCAUUGCAUAAUUACCUUAGCAUCCAGCUGCAAGAGAAUGUAUCUUCAUAGUUUGUUGAUAGUUGCGUACCAUAUUUCUUAUAUAACACCAAACAGAACAAGAAUAGUCCACCCUACUCUGGGGCAGGAAAAAUUUUGAAGGAAGGAAGAGAGGAGAGAGGAAAAAAGGGAGAAGAAAAAAAAUAAAGAAAAAAAAAAAAAAAACA
rnacentral:lncRNA from 1 species